GCGAGUCAUUGUAGCAAUACAAGGCAGACGGCUCAGUAACGCGUAGUCAAUCUACCCUAUGGACGGGAAUAACCUCGGGAAACUGAGAAUAAUGCCCGACAGAACAUUAUACCUGGAACGGUUUAUGUUUCAAAUGAUUUAUCGCCGUAGGAUGGGACUGCGGCCUAUCAGUUUGUUGGUGAGGUAAUGGCCCACCAAGACUAUUACAGGUACGGGCUCUGAGAGGAGUAGCCCGGAGAUGGGUACUGAGACACGGACCCAGGCCCUAUGGGGCGCAGCAGGCGAGAAAACUUUGCAAUGUGCGAAAGCACGACAAGGUUAAUCCGAGUGGUUUCUGCUAAAGAAACCUUUUGCUAGUCCUAGAAACACUAGUGAAUAAGGGGUGGGCAAGUUCUGGUGUCAGCCGCCGCGGUAAAACCAGCACCUCAAGUGGUCAGGAUGAUUAUUGGGCCUAAAGCAUCCGUAGCUCGUUUUGUAAGUUUUCGGUUAAAUCCAUACGCUUAACGUAUGGGCUGCCGGGAAUACUGCAUAACUAGGAAGUGGGAGAGGUAGACGGUACUCGGUAGGAAGGGGUAAAAUCCUUUGAUCUAUUGAUGACCACCUGUGGCGAAGGCGGUCUACCAGAACACGUUCGACGGUGAGGGAUGAAAGCUGGGGGAGCAAACCGGAUUAGAUACCCGGGUAGUCCCAGCUGUAAACUAUGCAAACUCAGUGAUGCAUUGGCUUGUGGCCAAUGCAGUGCUGCAGGGAAGCCGUUAAGUUUGCCGCCUGGGAAGUACGUACGCAAGUAUGAAACUUAAAGGAAUUGGCGGGGGAGCACCACAAGGGGUGAAGCCUGCGGU
rnacentral:rRNA from 1 species